rnacentral:rRNA from 1 species
ACGCACGCUGGCGGCGUGCUUCACCCAUGCAAGUCGAACGGAAAGGCCUCUUUCGGGGGGUACUCGAGUGGCGAACGGGUGAGUAACACGUGAGUAACCUGCCCUUGACUUUGGGAUAACUUCAGGAAACUGGGGCUAAUACCGGAUAGGAGCUCCUGCUGCAUGGUGGGGGUUGGAAAGUUUCGGCGGUUGGGGAUGGACUCGCGGCUUAUCAGCUUGUUGGUGGGGUAGUGGCUUACCAAGGCUUUGACGGGUAGCCGGCCUGAGAGGGUGACCGGCCACAUUGGGACUGAGAUACGGCCCAGACUCCUACGGGAGGCAGCAGUGGGGAAUAUUGCACAAUGGGUGGAAGCCUGAUGCAGCAACGCCGUGGGCGGGAGGACGGCCUUCGGGUUGUAAACCGCUUUCGCUCAUGACGAAGCUUUGUGUGACGGUAGUGGGUAAAGAAGCACCGGCUAACUACGUG